rnacentral:rRNA from 1 species
UACGUAGGUGGCGAGCGUUGUCCGGAAUUACUGGGUGUAAAGCGCGUGUAGGCGGGAGGCCAAGUCUGCUGUGAAAUCGCCCGGCUCAACUGGGCGGGGUCGGUGGAAACUGGUCACCUGGAGGACGGUAGAGGCGAGUGGAAUUCCCGGUGUAGUGGUGAAAUGCGUAGAGAUCGGGAGGAACACCAGUGGCGAAGGCGGCUCGCUGGGCCGGCCCUGGACGCUG